rnacentral:rRNA from 1 species
UACGUAGGUGGCAAGCGUUGUUCGGAAUUAUUGGGCGUAAAGGGCGCGUAGGCGGUUUGCUAAGUCAGUUGUGAAAGCCCCGGGCUCAACCUGGGAAUUGCGAUGGAGACUGCAAGGCUUGAAUCUGGCAGAGGGGGGUAGAAUUCCACGUGUAGCAGUGAAAUGCGUAGAGAUGUGGAGGAACACCGAUGGCGAAGGCAGCCCCCUGGGUCAAGAUUGACGCUCAUGCACGAAAGCGUGGGGAGCAAACAGG